GUUCGUUCUUGAACAUAUACUAAAACUGGAACAAUACAGAGAAGAUUAGCAUGAUCCCUGCGCAAGGAUGACACGCAAAUUUGUGAAGCGUUCCAUUUUUUG
rnacentral:snRNA from 1 species